GGGUAACAGGGAGUGCUUGCACUCCGCUGACGACCGGCGCACGGGUGCGUAACGCGUAUGCAACCUACCUUUUACAGGGGGAUAGUCAAGAGAAAUUUUGAAUAAUACCCCAUACGAUCCUGAUAUCACCUGAUAUUUGGAAGAAAACUUUGGUGGUAAAAGAUGGGCAUGCGUCCUAUUAGUUAGUUGGUGAGGUAACGGCUCACCAAGACAGCGAUAGGUAGGGGUCCUGAGAGGGAGAUCCCCCACACUGGUACUGAGACACGGACCAGACUCCUACGGGAGGCAGCAGUGAGGAAUAUUGGACAAUGGAGGCAACUCUGAUCCAGCCAUGCCGCGUGCAGGAGGACUGCCCUAUGGGUUGUAAACUGCUUUUAUACAGGAAGAAACCUACUUACGUGUAAGUAGCUGACGGUACUGUACGAAUAAGGAUCGGCUAACUCCGUGCCAGCAGCCGCGGUAAUACGGAGGAUCCAAGCGUUAUCCGGAAUUAUUGGGUUUAAAGGGUCCGUAGGUGGUUUGUUAAGUCAGAGGUGAAAUCCUACCGCUUAACGGUAGCACUGCCUUUGAUACUGGCAAACUUGAGUUAUUGUGAAGUAGUUAGAAUGUGUAGUGUAGCGGUGAAAUGCAUAGAUAUUACACAGAAUACCGAUUGCGAAGGCAGAUUACUAACAAUAUACUGACACUGAGGGACGAAAGCGUGGGUAGCGAACAGGAUUAGAUACCCUGGUAGUCCACGCCGUAAACGAUGGUCACUAGCUGUUUGACUAACAUUGGUUAGUUGAGUGGCUAAGCGAAAGUGAUAAGUGACCCACCUGGGGAGUACGCUCGCAAGAGUGAAACUC
rnacentral:rRNA from 1 species